UGGGGAAUAUUGCACAAUGGGCGCAAGCCUGAUGCAGCCAUGCCGCGUGUGUGAAGAAGGCCUUCGGUUGUAAAGCACUUUCAGCGAGGAGGAAGGUGGUGAGCUUAAUACGCUCAUCAAUUGACGUUACUCGCAGAAGAAGCACCGGCUAACUCCGUGCCAGCAGCCGCGGUAAUACGGAGGGUGCAAGCGUUAAUCGGAAUUACUGGGCGUAAAGCGCACGCAGGCGGUUUGUUAAGUCAGAUGUGAAAAUCCCCGGGCUCAACCUGGGAACUGCAUUUGAAACUGGCAAGCUAGAGUCUCGUAGAGGGGGGUAGAAUUCCAGGUGUAGCGGUGAAAUGCGUAGAGAUCUGGAGGAAUACCGGUGGCGAAGGCGGCCCCCUGGACGAAGACUGACGCUCAGGUGCGAAAGCGUGGGGCAGCAAACAGAUUAGAUACCCUGGUAGUCACGCUGU
rnacentral:rRNA from 1 species